AUACAAUUUAGAAAAGAAAAAAAGGAGCCAUUUUGUGAACCCUACCUUUCUCUAUCAUUUUCGUUCUCCCUCGAACACACCACCUGGUGGAAAUGGAAGGAAAAAUUCGACGACGUUGGCAUCAUUGACGCCGGCGUCGACACUGUAUGAACCCCACAUUCUUACUCCCAUCAUUUGAACUGGGCUUACGGAUUUGGAGAAGAAAUGGAAACAGAUAACUUCGUCGCUGGUGACUGCACUGGCACUAUGUCUGAGUUGUUUCAAAUGUGCUGGAGAAAGUGAAUACUCAGUUGUUAUGCUAUGGUGUUAUGCAAGGAUGAUGUAAAUGGACAAGUCAGAUCAAGAAAGAAAAACGGUUAUAGAGCAUACUAUGGAGGGGACUACUGCCAUGUUAUUCUAAAUUAGUAAUGAUUGUUGAUUUAUGCGCCUAACUAGUAAUGGUGGUUAAGCUGUCUCAGUUAUUUGGUGCCGAAAAGUGAGAAUGCUAUUAUAAAUUAGUAAUGGUGGUUGAUUUGUGCCCCUUACCAUGUAGACAUUUUGUAAGCUAGUUUAUGGUAAUAUUCAUGUGCAUCUUGUGAUAGCACAGAGGUUGGUGCUUAAGUGACAAUAAGUUAUUUCAUCUUUGGCACGAACACAUUUGUCCAAGGACAAUGGAUUUAGCUUUGA